rnacentral:rRNA from 1 species
GUACCCGCUGAACUUAAGCAUAUCACUAAGCGGAGGAAAAGAAACCAACAGGGAUUGCCCUAGUAAUGGCGAAUGAAGCGGCAACAGCCCAGAUUUGAAAUCUGGCGCCCCCCCGUGGGCGCCCGAGUUGUAAUCUGCAGAGGGAGCCUCCGGCGAGGCCGCCGCCCAGUCCCCUGGAACGGGGCGCCGCAGAGGGUGAGAGCCCCGUACGGCGGCCGGCCGAGCCGACCAGAGGCCCCUUCGGAGAGUCGCGUAGCUUGGGAAUGCUGCGCAAAAGGGGAGGUAUACCCCUCCUAAGGCUAAAUACCUGCCAGAGACCGAUAGCGAACAAGUAGAGUGAUCGAAAGAUGAAAAGCACCUUGGAAAGGGGGUUAAACAGUACGUGAAAUUGCUGAGAGGGAAGCGCCCGCGAUCAGACUCGCCGCGGGCGGAUCACCCGGCCUCCCGCCGGGGCACUCCGCCCGCGUCGGGCCAGCGUCGGCUCGUGAUCCCGGGGGGUAAUGGCGGUGGGGACGUGGCCCCCUCCCCGUGGGGGGGUGUUAUAACCCGCCGCGUGAUACCCUGGGGCGGGCCGAGGAACGCGCACCCCUGCGGUGUACGGACGCUGGCGUAAUGGUCGUCGGCGACCCGUCUUGAAACACGGACCAAGGAGUCGUCCUCGCAUGCGAGUGUUCGGGUGCUCGAGACCCCUACGCGAAAUGAAAGUGAACGUCGGCGGGAGCCUCGGCGCACCGUCUACCGAUCCUGAUGUCUUCGGAUGGAUUUGAGUGGGAGCAUGCGGGGCCGGACCCGAAAGAGGGUGAACUAUGCGCGCGUAGGGUGAAGCCAGAGGAAACUCUGGUGGAGGCUCGCAGCGGUUCUGACGUGCAAAUCGAUCGUCAAACGUGCGCAUGGGGGCGAAAGACUAAUCGAACCUUCUAGUAGCUGGUUCCUGCCGAAGUUUCCCUCAGGAUAGCAGUGCUGGGAGAUCGGUCUUAUGAGGUAAAGCGAAUGAUUAGGGACCCGGGGGCGCCAUAUAGCCUUCAUCCAUUCUCAAACUUUAAAUAUGUAAGAGGCCCGCGCUGCUCGGAUGAGCGCGGGCGGUCGGACGUACCAGCACUAGUGGGCCAUUUUUGGUAAGCAGAACUGGCG